CGCACAUUGCGCCCCUCGGUAUUCCGAGGGGCAUGCCUGUUCGAGCGUCAUUGCACCUCUCAAGCACUGCUUGGUAUUGGGCGUCGUCCCCCGUGACGUCCCCGGAUUUCAGUGGCGGUCCAGCGAGACUUCAAGCGUAGCAAGAUAUACAUCCCGCUUUGGAAGUUUCCCGUUGCGUGCCAGCCAGUCAACCUUUAUUUUCUCAACGAUUGACCUCGGAUCAGGUAGGGAUACCCGCUGAACUUAA
rnacentral:misc_RNA from 1 species